UAAGGACUGGCGGGAGACUGAGGAAGGUCCUGCCACCAACUUGAAGCUCCUCAAGGCAAGGGUGA
rnacentral:ribozyme from 1 species